CGUAGGCGGCUCGGCACGUCCGUUGUGAAAUCGCCCGGCUCAACUGGGCGGGGUCAGCGGAUACGGUCGAGCUUGAGCAAGCUAGGGGGCAAUGGAAUUCCCGGUGUAGUGGUGGAAUGCGUAGAUAUCGGGAGGAACACCAGUGGCGAAGGCGGUUGUCUGGGCUUUGCUGACGCUGAGGCGCGAAAGCGUGGGGAGCGAUCCGGAUUAGAUACCCGGGUAGUCCACGCCGUAAACGAUGUCGACUAGAUGUCGGGGGUAUCGACCCCCUCGGCGCCGCAGCUACGCAUUAAGUCGACCGCCUGGGGACUACGGCCGCAAGGCUAAA
rnacentral:rRNA from 1 species